GUGAGGAAUUUUCCGCAAUGGGCGAAAGCCUGACGGAGCAAUGCCGCGUGAAGGAUGAAGGCCUAUGGGUUGUAAACUUCUUUUCUCAGAAAAGAAUUAUGACGGUAUCUGAGGAAUAAGCAUCGGCUAACUCUGUGCCAGCAGCCGCGGUAAGACAGAGGAUGCAAGCGUUAUCCGGAAUGAUUGGGCGUAAAGCGUCUGUAGGUUGUUUAAAAAGUAUUCUGUCAAAGAUUAGGGCUUAACCCUAGAUAGGCAGAAUAAACUUUUAAGCUAGAGGUUGGUAGAGGCAGAGGGAAUUCCCGGGGGAGCGGUGAAAUGCGUAGAUAUCGGGAGGAACACCAAAGGCGAAGGCACUCUGCUGGGCCAAUACUAACACUGAGAGACGAAAGCGAGGGGAGCAAAUGGGAUUAGAAACCCGGGUAGUCC
rnacentral:rRNA from 1 species